AAGCAAUGUUUUGGCUGGCCUGCAAGU
rnacentral:piRNA from 1 species